rnacentral:sRNA from 1 species
AGAUUCUUGCACAACACAGUUUGACCUCCAAAACUGUGUCUCAGAUUUUUCCUAUUGUAUUUCAUUCUCUCAUAAAUCUUCAAUGAAGUUUCAAUUCAUAAGAGAUCACUAAAUUAAACUGGGUAUAAAAUUUGUUCUAUUGAUGUUUUUGGAAAUCUGAGACACAGUUUUGGAGGUCAAGCUGUGUUGUACAAGAAUAU